rnacentral:rRNA from 1 species
AGAACGAACGCUGGCGGCAUGCCUAACACAUGCAAGUCGAACGAACUCUUCGGAGUUAGUGGCGCACGGGUGCGUAACGCGUGGGAAUCUGCCCUUGGGUACGGAAUAACUCAGAGAAAUUUGUGCUAAUACCGUAUAAUGACUUCGGUCCAAAGAUUUAUCGCCCAAGGAUGAGCCCGCGUGAGAUUAGCUAGUUGGUGAGGUAAAAGCUCACCAAGGCGACGAUCUCUAGCUGGUCUGAGAGGGUGACCGGCCACACUGGGACUGAGACACGGCCCAGACUCCUACGGGAGGCAGCAGUGGGGAAUAUUGGACAAUGGGCGGAAGCCUGAUCCAGCAACGCCGCGUGAGGGAUGGACGGCCUUCGGGUUGUAAACCUCUUUCAGCAGGGAAGAAGCGAAAGUGACGGUACCUGCAGAAGAAGCACCGGCUAACUACGUGCCAGCAGCCGC